rnacentral:rRNA from 1 species
AUAUUGCACAAUGGGGGAAACCCUGAUGCAGCGACGCCGCGUGAGUGAAGAAGUAUCUCGGUACGUAAAGCUCUAUCAGCAGGGAAGAUAAUGACAGUACCUGACCAAGAAGCCCCGGCUAACUACGUGCCAGCAGCCGCGGUAAUACGUAGGGGGCAAGCGUUAUCCGGAUUUACUGGGUGUAAAGGGAGCGUAGACGGCAGCACAAGUCUGGAGUGAAAUCCCGGGGCUUAACCCCGGAACUGCUUUGGAAACUGUGCGGCUGGAGUGCAGGAGGGGUAAGCGGAAUUCCUAGUGUAGCGGUGAAAUGCGUAGAUAUUAGGAGGAACACCGGUGGCGAAGGCGGCUUACUGGACUGUAACUGACGUUGAGGCUCGAAAGCGUGGGGAGCAAACAGG